rnacentral:rRNA from 1 species
UACGUAGGGCGCAAGCGUUAUCCGGAAUUAUUGGGCGUAAAGAGCUCGUAGGCGGUUUGUCGCGUCUGCCGUGAAAGUCCGGGGCUCAACUCCGGAUCUGCGGUGGGUACGGGCAGACUAGAGUGAUGUAGGGGAGACUGGAAUUCCUGGUGUAGCGGUGAAAUGCGCAGAUAUCAGGAGGGACACCGAUGGCGAAGGCAGGUCUCUGGGCAUUAACUGACGCUGAGGAGCGAAAGCAUGGGGAGCGAACAGG